UCCAAAUUCUUCGUCUUCUUCGGCUCCUCUCGUCGAGGAGAUUCGUGAUGGAUUUCUCCGGAUUGAUCGCUUUGGUCCUUCUUUUUGGUCUGUUGAACUCGGUGCGCGUCGCAAGAUCCAAGCUUGAUGACGCGGUGGGAUUCUUGGAGAGGGCCAUGGAGCCGGAGUUCUUCGAUUGGAUGGUAGGGGUGAGGCGGAGGAUCCACGAGAACCCCGAGCUCGGGUACGAGGAAUUCUCCACCAGCGAGCUCAUCAGGAAGGAGCUGGAUGCUUUGGGGAUCCGUUACCAGCAUCCGGUCGCCGUCACCGGGGUAGUGGGUUACGUCGACACCGGGAAACCUCCCUUUGUCGCCCUCAGAGCCGACAUGGAUGCCCUGGCGAUGCAGGAGAACGUGGAAUGGGAGCGAAAGGGGCAGGGGAAGAUGCACGCAUGUGGCCAUGACGCACACGUCGCGAUGCUUCUUGGUGCUGCUAAGAUUCUUCAAGAGCACCGUGAUGAUCUCCCGGGAACUGUUGUCCUCCUUUUCCAACCUGCUGAGGAAGGAGGUGGCGGAGCAAAGAAAAUGAUAGAUGCUGGAGUUGUUGAAAACGUUGAUGCUAUCCUUGGGUUUCAUAUAACUAAUGAUGUACCUCUUGGUGUCGUGCAAUCCAGGCCUGGACCUACAAUUGCUGGGAGUGGGACCUUUGAGGCUGUUAUAAGUGGAAAGGGAGGUCAUGCUGCCAUUUCUCAGCACACGAUAGAUCCAAUUUUGGCUGCAUCAAAUGUGAUUGUGAGCUUGCAGCAUCUUGUCUCACGUGAAGCCGAUCCUUUGGAUUCACAGGUAGUAACAAUUGCAAAAUUUCAAGGAGGAAAAGCGUUCAAUGUGAUUCCAGAUUCAGUCACCAUUGGUGGCACCUUCCGAGCAUUUUCCAAAGAAAGGUUUUUUCAACUCAAGCAAUGAAUUGAAGAGGUGAUUGUUGCACAAGCAUCUGUUCAGAGGUGCAGAGCGACUGUUGACUUCCUCGACAAAGAUCAUCCUUUCUUCCCUGUUACAGUCAAUAGCAAGGAUCUCCAUGUGCAUUUCCAGAAGGUGGCUGCAGAGAUGCUUGGAAUUAGCAACGUACAGGAAAGAAAGCCAGUCAUGGUAGCUGAAGACUUUGCUUUCUUCACCGAGGUUGUCCCUGCUGCAUACUACUACUUCUUCGGGAUGAUGAAUGAGACACAGGGACCAGUGUACCCUGCGCACUCACCAUAUUUUACAGUCAAUGAGGCAGCACUCCCCUAUGGUGCAGCACUUCAAGCCUCUCUGGCAAUAAGAUUUCUGUUUGAGAACCACACCCCCUCUAUCCACCAUGAAUGUUCACGAUGAACUCUGAAUACAUUUCAUCAUUCCUGGUGUCCUCCAUUGCAGAAGAGCCUGAAGCCAAAAAUCCUAUAUUUAGGUAAGAUUAUGAUGUACAUUUAUAUCGACACCAGAAACAAUCUCAGUUAUUUUACCGAAUAAUGUCAAGAGUUAUACAAGUCAUUUUUUGUCGUAA